UGGGGGGUGGUGUAACUGGCAGCACAACGGAUUUUGGUUCCGUCGGUCCGGGUUCGAGUCCUGGCCCCCCAG
rnacentral:tRNA from 1 species